CGUCUCAGUUUACAUUUAAACCAAUAAACCAAUAAUUUUAUUAUCCUUGAGAACAUAUUAACAAAAAUUCUACUCAAAGAUAUUCUUAAUUCUCGAGAAGCCUUUAUUCACUUGAUUAACACGAUAAACUUUUCAUGUUUAUUGUAAAGCUAAAAUUCUUAAAACUGAAAAAACAUGCAAGAGGAAAAUCCACUCCAGUUGUGCAGUCAAAUGCAGAACAUCUCCACUCCAGAGUCGAUGUGGCAGAGCAGAGGAUUCUUCAUCAGAUUAGAGAGCUCUUCAAUUAUAAAAGGGUUUUAGAGGUUAACUCUGUCAGCGUUGUUGGAUUAGUUUUACAGCUGAAGCAUGCAAUUUGGACUCGCAAUUAAUGAUGAAGUGCGCUGUCUGCUAGUGCAAUGUUCUUUUCAAGGACUUCUUUGUGCCAAGAUUUGAAUUGCAUUAAUAUUUGUGAAUACGAUGAUCUGUAAAUGUAUGUUUACUUAGGUAAAUGGAGCAACUGCUGCUGAAUUACUCUUGACCUAGCUGCAAACAACAAAGCACGCAGUACUAUAUGUAGAAGUUUCUAAAUGUCCAUAUGUUUCAAUCUUAAAAGGUACUAUCAAGGUACUGUUUUGUCGGAAAUCAAUUGCAAGUAGUUGCAGUCACCAUCUGGUCACCCAGAGGUUCAUUGGACUUUACUCUGAAUCGCUCUGCGACAACUUUCGAUCACAAGGUGAUUAUAUAGGUGUCAUGGUCCCUGUGCCUCCCCGGCCAGCCCAGUGUGACCACAAGUGUUUGUUGUUUCUCUCUCUCUCUCUCUCUCCCCUACCUGUCUGCCUGGGCGGAGCUCUGACUGGGCUCCCGCCCUUGGCCCACGCACCUGCAGCUGAUCUCGAGUGAUUUGCAGUGGAUCUCUGGGUCUUCUUAAGGCUGGGGCUCUGAGCUAUUCGUCGCUGGAAUAUUGAGUAACCUCGGAAUCCCUUUCCCUUGGUGCCCUGGGUGUGCUUAGUUGCUGAUGUGCGGUGUUUCUGGAUUCCCUCGUGUGUGAAGAGCCCCUUUCCCGGAUUCCCCUGUGCCCUGGAUCCCCCUUGCCCUCUCACCUGUAUAUAGUCGCACCUGGUGUCGUGUAUCAAUAAAAGGAACUGUAUUUUA